GUAUCAUGAUUUUUUUUAAAAUCGGCCAAACAUUGGUACACAAAUAAAGUACAACACAGGUGAAAAAAGGAAAUGUAGAAAAAGGAACGCAAUUGUUUCAAACAAUAGAGACAACCGUUUAAAAAACAGGUUACUCGUGUACAUAUUUUAUUGCAUUAAAUGAUACAAUAUCACGUAU